UUCCAAUCAUUGGGUAUUUGAAGGUCCAGAAGGAGCCAACCUGUUCAUCUAUCACCUGCCCCAGGAGUUUGGAGACCAGGACCUGCUGCAGAUGUUUAUGCCCUUUGGGAAUGUCGUGUCUGCCAAGGUUUUUAUAGAUAAGCAGACAAGUCUGAGCAAGUGUUUUGGUUUUGUAAGUUACGACAAUCCUGUCUCAGCUCAAGCUGCCAUCCAGUCCAUGAAUGGCUUUCAGAUUGGAAUGAAGAGGCUUAAAGUGCAGCUCAAACGUUCGAAGAAUGACAGCAAGCCCUACUGAGCGUGCUCCCUCCUGAGACUGGAGUGAGAGGGUCUUCUGGUAAGUGUGGGAGGAGCACCCUUAAUGAUUCGAAGCCCAAAGGCUGUGUGUUGACAGCCCUGGACCCUGAUCCCUGCCACUCUCGCAGGCACAGCUUGCCCUGAAGACUCAGCUACUGCCUUCUGUGGGAGUUUCGCUUCGUACAGAGGACAAGUUUGUGAUUUGGUUUCCAGUGUUUUUACUUUGGAGUUUAGGUGCCAUAUCCUGAGGGGGUUUUUUGUUGUUUUUGUUAUUGUUUUUCUUUUUCUCUUUAUUUAAAGUUUGUUGCGUUUGUAACCAGUGUGUUGAGAAGGACCAACACCAAACACCCUGGGGAAGGGAGAAAAUGGUUGAAAAAGAUAAUCAGAAUUUUCCCCAAACCACCACGUAAGAGGACUGAGUAGAAUAAAAGGUUGAUCCCCAGAAUCAACUUCCAUGAGUGCACUGAUAGGCAGAAUGAGAGCUAAGCCCUGGAGAGCAGUGGGGAUGGAGCAGCUGAGGUGGCUUCAUGCCCAGAGCCCUGGCAGCUAGAUAUAGACAUUGCUCCAUAACAUAGCUGCUUUCUGUGGAGAUACUGAGCUACCACCUAUUUUUUUUUCAGAUUUUCAUCCUGGAUUUCUGCCCUUCUUUCUUAAAGGGGGGGCCAGCAAUUCUCAGAAAAUAAAGCACCUCUUAAGUUACCCUGAAAUAUGCGAAUAACUAGGAGAUAGCCAGUACUAGCUAUCCCAACUCACCAGUGCUAUUGCAUUGCCCUGCCUGGCUGGUGGCUGUUUGGGGGACGCAGCCAAAGAGGUCAUUCAUUUUUAUUGUAUUUUAACAUGAAAUUAGACCAUGUCCCAUUUCCAACAGCCCCUUUUGGAGAAAGUUUAUUGCAGACAUUUCCUGGUUGCUUCCUUGUAGUUACCACAACAAGGAAUACUGACUACUUCCCAAGCCACAAUUUUCUCAUCAGGGCAGAUCUAAGAAGCUCUUGCAGCAUCUAUCCAACAGGAACACUAUUCAUGGGUAGAGUGAUCAAAAUCUAGUUGGGUGAGGAGGAUCCUGCUUCUUGGCAUACCUGAAUCAAGAGCCCUACAAAGCCAAGAUGCCACAUUUGCCAGUGGACAGAGCCUAAUACUCAAGAAGGUGCAGAAAUUCACACCUGCCUCCUUGAUUGACCUGUCCCAUUGGUUGUAUUACCAUAGCUGUAUGGCAGACCCCUCUUCUAACCACUCCAGCCCCUUCUUCUGCCCCUGGGGACAGAAGAGAGUACAGGACUUUUACAGCCCCCAUAUGGUUUGAGUGUUCAUUUACCUCAGUAUUGCUGCGUUCAUUUUGUCACUGUGCUUAUAGUUUGCUCCCUGCUGCCUCCCACAGGUCUCACUGCAGCCCUUGCCUGUGUCCUACACAGCCCCUGGGCUCUGCUU